UACGUAGGGGGCAAGCGUUGUCCGGAUUUACUGGGCGUAAAGAGCGUGUAGGCGGCCACGCAGGUCCGUUGUGAAAACUGGAGGCUCAACUUCCAGCCGUCGACGGAAACCGUGUGGCUAGAGUCCGGAAGAGGAGAGUGGAAUUCCUGGUGUAGCGGUGAAAUGCGCAGAUAUCAGGAAGAACACCAAUGGCGAAGGCAGCUCUCUGGGACGGUACUGACGCUGAGGAGCGAAAGCGUGGGGAGCGAACAGG
rnacentral:rRNA from 1 species